UCCACGCCCUAAACGGUGGGCAUUAGGUGUGGGGCUUUUAUAGGUUCCGUGCCGAAGGGAAACCAUUAAAUGCCCCGCCUGGGGAAUACGGCCGCAAGGUUGAAACUCAAAGGAAUUGACGGGGGCCCGCACAAGCGGUGGAGCAUGUGGUUUAAUUCGACGCUACGCGAAGAACCUUACCUGGGUUUGACAUGCAGGUGGUAGAAGCCCGAAAGGGUAACGACCUUGGGGUAACCCAAGGAGCUUGCACAGGUGCUGCAUGGCUGUCGUCAGCUCGUGCCGUGAGGUGUUGGGUUAAGUCCCGCAACGAGCGCAACCCUUAUCCUCUGUUGCCCCGAAAGGGGAUCUCUGAGGAAACUGCCAGCGACAAGC
rnacentral:rRNA from 1 species